rnacentral:rRNA from 1 species
CCCAUCUCAUGCGUAUAGUGAAGGGAAUCAAAGCUCUGAUCAAGAUCAGUCUAGAGCACGGUCAAGCCUAACGGAGGCAACGCUGCAGUCGCUCUAGGUGGGAGCAUGAAGGCAGCUCUUCGACUAAAUCACCUGCGCAGCGCCCGAGGUUGCGCGGAGAACAGCAUCUUCAUGCGGAAAGCAACCAAAAAAAAUAUAUACCAAAAAAAUAUAUACCGUCAUAUACCAAAAAAAAUAUAUACCGUCAUUGAAUUCACGGCAGCGUUGCGCAAGCGUCAGUCAGCCCGUUGAGGAGGGGAGAAGUGGCAUUGAUUAAGGAACUCAACUCCACGCUUCGUUUUCUGUUGCAUACGAGCCAUGCGUUCCAGAAGCAUACGGGUAAAACUUGCUCCAGAAAGGAAUGCCAGAGAAGAUUUUCCAUUAGCAACUUGCAAGGAGAUACGGCCACACCAACGGUGGUAUGAGGGGAGAUAUGAAUUAGUCCGGUCGCCUCGUGUCCGGCAACUAAACCAUCACACCAAAUCGUUGGUUGAAGAGCUCUUCCCGGGCACUAAUGGAAACGGCCACGAUAAAAACUAUACAAACGGCGAUAAAAUUGCCCGUAGACCAUGUUGGUGGAGCUACGGUAGUAAGCAGCAGGGACAGGCAGAGGGACUGCACAAUGCAAUGCCAACUCUACUUCCCGCUUCGGGACCUUCAUAUCAAUAAUGGGACAACACUGCAGGUCAUCCAGAGAAGUUUCGUCGAUAACACGAAGGACGCCGCGCACGUUGCCCCUGUGGUUUACGGCCAACUACCAUAGAGGUUUGGUGAGCUUCAGGAGAAUUUACGGACAGCCUGGUUUAGUUCAAUAACGAGGCAGCAACUGCAGCAAAAGUCGAAGGCAAGAGAGGGUAGCGUAAUGAAUGACAGCCCAGUGGGCACAGCAGGUGAAAGCCAUUGAGGGCGGCACGUUCUCUGUUUGCAGGAAGUGCAAUGACUUAAAGGAUGCGUAAAGAGAACCACCAGUUAUUCUGUCGGUUCGAUAGGACACUUCUGCCACAAAGGAGCAUUUUCAAACACUACCUACAACUAUAUUAUAUCAAACAAGCUAAAUAGGCUCAAUAUAUUUCCCACACCGUCAUUUAUUCGAGGCCCUCAAGAACACCUCCAAAACAGCACCUGACUAGCUGAGGUCCAAUUACCUCCCCAAAAUAAUCGGUGUUGCAUGCAGGACAUAAUUCGUUCUCCUUCUAGAUAAUCACAAUUUUAUUGAUUGAGUUCGAACGGCAAUUUUAGCCAAUUUUGGCAUCAAUGAAUAUCGGGCAAGCGUAUUGAUACCGGUGGAGCAGUGACGUAUUCGUCCUCAGUAUUCAAAUCCAAGACUCCGGUAUUUAAGUGUUUUAGCGACGGGGUGGAACUGCAGGGCCCCUAACUAACCCGCAAGUUGUGUCUUUCUCAAGAUCUUCCAAUUCGUCCUCUAGUCUCGCGUAAGCUUCUGUCGUGAGUCUUGGGAUGCGUAGUGGUCUGUUGCUCGUUAUCGGCAGAUUGCGCGUUGAAGCCCCGCUGCAGGCGUCUGCUCUAUGCCUUGCAAUAGUGUGGCAAACGAUGUCCCGUCCAGGCAUGCGGCUGGGCCCUCUCUGGGCCCGCUAUAGCUGAUUCAGUUGUUAUCGUGCUGAUUCUGCACUUGGAAUCAAGCUCCGGACCUCCUGCCCUUCAUUCGGCUGUCCCAAACACCCACCUUUGUUAGCGUGGGCUUGGUAGAGGGCUCUCUGACCCUCGCCUACUGUGCCCAUGUGCAGGGACGCUAUGGUGUUGAGGAAGGAGUGUUCCUGCUGUUGGUACUGCCCAAGCGGGCUCUGUCAGUCACGGAAACUUAGGAGAAGGCUUGCUAGGCUGUCAUUUGUCUUCGCAAGCCUCUCUUCUGCAGUCAGAAAUCCAACGCGCCAUCCAUUGCGCCACAAGGGCUUCUACGUAGCCAAAUGCCUCGUCAUCUAGUUUGUGACGUGCAUGAAUGGAUUAACGAGAUUCCCACUGUCCCUAUCUACUAUCUAGCGAAACCACAGCCAAGGGAACGGGCUUGGCGGAUUCAGAGGGAAACGAAGACCCUGUUGAGCUUGAUUCUAGUCCGAGUUUGUGGAACGAUUUGGGAGUGUAGCAUAGGUGGGAGCUUCGGUGAUCGUGAAAUACCACUACCUUCAGUAUCGUUUUACUUAUUCCGUUAGUUUGCGACGCAUGCUCGGCAUGUGUUUUAGUCUUAAGGUGCCUUUUUGGCGCUGAUCAAUGCGGAACACACAGUCAGGUGGGGAGUUUGGGUUGGGCGGCAUAUCUGUGAAACAAUAGCGCAGGUGUCCUAAGGCAAGCUCAAUGAGAACAGAAAUCUCAUGUUGACCAAAAUGGGAAAACCGUGCUUGAUUUUGUUGUCCAGUACGAAUACAAACUGUGAAAGCAUGACCUAUCGAUCCUUUAGGUCUGAGAAACUUUCAGCUAGAGGUGUCAGAAAAGUUACCACAGGGAUAACUGGCUGGUGGCAGCCAAGCGUUCAUAGCGACGUUGCUUUUUGAUCCUUCGAUGUCGGCUCUUCCUAUUAAUGAGAUGCAGAAGUCUCAAAGAGUCGGAUUGUUCACCCGCCAAUAGGAAACGUGAGCUGGGUUUAGACCGUCGUGGGACAGGUUAGUUUUACCCUACUGGUAAAUUUAAUACUGCGACAGUAAUCCAACUUAGUAGGAGAGGAACAGUACUUGGUUAAUGAGGUUAGCUGAAAAGCUAGUGCCGCGACGCUACCAUCUGGUGGAUUAUGACUGUACGCCUCUACUUCAGAACUCACGCUGGCUAAGCACUGCAUAUAAUCGCCUCAUUUGUUACUUACAUAUGUUUUUAGUGUCUUUUGAGCACACAAUCUCAUCAAGGCCCUUUGCGUCACGCGCUGGGCUAUAAUAUCAAUUUCCCACAAUUGAGGCGCUACAUCGAUUGCAGAUGACUUUGCCAGGUAUUGUAGGUGUGAGAGUAGGCUUGUCCUACGAUCGACAAAGAUUCAGCCUUCGUU